rnacentral:rRNA from 3 species
AUAAGCAUUAUACGGCGAAACUGCGAAUGGCUCAUUAUAUAAGUUAUCGUUUAUUUGAUAGCACAUUACUACUUGGAUAACCGUGGUAAUUCUAGAGCUAAUACAUGCUAAAAAUCCCGACUUCGGAAGGGAUGUAUUUAUUAGAUUAAAAACCAAUGCCCUCUGGGCUCUCUGGUGAAUCAUGAUAACUGCUCGAAUCGCAGGGCCUCGUGCCGGCGAUGGUUCAUUCAAAUUUCUUCCCUAUCAACUUUCGAUGUUUGGGUAUUGGCCAAACAUGGUUACAACGGGUAACGGAGGGUUAGGGCUCGACCCCGGAGAAGGAGCCUGAGAGACGGCUACUACAUCCAAGGAAGGCAGCAGGCGCGCAAAUUACCCAAUCCCGACACGGGGAGGUAGUGACAAUAAAUACUGAUACAGGGCUCUUUCGGGUCUUGUAAUUGGAAUGAGUACAAUUUAAAUCCCUUAACGAGGAACAAUUGGAGGGCAAGUCUGGUG